AUUCAAUCAAACUCACUUUUCGUCGAGUUGCAUAUGUUUCUGUCUCAAAACACUUAAUUUUACAUGUCAUGUUUGUUUACGUUCCAUGAUUUACGUCAAAGCUGAAUUACGUCUCGUGUAAAAGUAAUAAUUUCUAAGUGUGCAUGACAUCGGCAUUCGCUUGCUCAGCAAUGUUUACAACAUUUUUGCUUCUAACACUAGCAAGCUGCCUGUUGUUCCAGACCUUGUAUGAUUGACAUCGCUACGACGCGGCUCUCAAUCAAAGGAGUAACAAGUGUGAUAGUAUCCUUGCUAGACUAGAUCUUUGUAAUCCCCAUUGCCUGCUCAUAAUGCCAUUCUAUCGCGGCAUGAGCCAGCAACGCCGGCCAUAAACCUACCUUCUCCAACACUCCACUAUAAAGCAUGAAAUUAGGCUCGCCCACCAACAGCAAGGUGCAAAAACUAGCCAAGGGGAGGGAACCAAAUUUUGUUCAUUUAGAUCCAAGCUUGAAAAAACCGGUGGAGCCCCACAAUUGGCGUUGACGGCGACUCUGUAGCUCUCUACUCAUAUUAGAGUCGGUGUAUAAUGAGUCACGCCAAGAGUGAAGCCAAGUCUACCUAUCAAACUGUCAAACCAGCUACCUAUCGUGCAAAGUAAACAAACAUUCCGAUGCUAUGAAAGGU